AUUGAACGCUGGCGGCAUGCUUUACACAUGCAAGUCGAACGGUAACAGGCCGCAAGGUGCUGACGAGUGGCGAACGGGUGAGUAAUGCAUCGGAACGUGCCCAGUCGUGGGGGAUAACUACUCGUAAGAGUAGCUAAUACCGCAUACGAUCUAUGGAUGAAAGCGGGGGACCGUAAGGCCUCGCGCGAUUGGAUGGGCCGAGGUCAGAUUAGGUAGUUGGUGGGGUAAAGGCUCACCAAGCCAACGAUCUGUAGCUGUUCUGAGAGGACGACCGGCCACACUGGGACUGAGACACGGCCCAGACUCCUACGGGAGGCAGCAGUGGGGAAUUUUGGACAAUGGGCGCAAGCCUGAUCCAGCAAUGCCGCGUGCAGGAAGAAGGCGUUCGGGUUGUAAACUGCUUUUGUACGGAACGAAACGGCUCUGGUUAAUACCCGGGGCUAAUGACGGUACCGUAAGAAUAAGCACCGGCUAACUACGUG
rnacentral:rRNA from 1 species